CACACGACUCUCGGCAACGGAUAUCUCGGCUCUCGCAUCGAUGAAGAACGUAGCAAAAUGCGAUACCUGGUGUGAAUUGCAGAAUCCCGCGAACCAUCGAGUUUUUGAACGCAAGUUGCGCCCGAGGCCUUCUGGUCGAGGGCACGCCUGCCUGGGCGUCACGCC
rnacentral:rRNA from 2 species